GACGAACGCUGGCGGCGUGCUUAACACAUGCAAGUCGAACGGAAAGGCCCUGCUUUUGUGGGGUGCUCGAGUGGCGAACGGGUGAGUAACACGUGAGUAACCUGCCCUUGACUUUGGGAUAACUUCAGGAAACUGGGGCUAAUACCGGAUAGGAGCUCCUGCUGCAUGGUGGGGGUUGGAAAGUUUCGGCGGUUGGGGAUGGACUCGCGGCUUAUCAGCUUGUUGGUGGGGUAGUGGCUUACCAAGGCUUUGACGGGUAGCCGGCAUGAGAGGGUGACCGGCCACAUUGGGACUGAGAUACGGACCAGAAGCCUACGGGAGGCAGCAGUGGGGAAUAUUGCACAAUGGGCGGAAGCCUGAUGCAGAAACGCCGCGUGCGGGAUGACGGCCUUCGGGUUGUAAACCGCUUUCGCCUGUGACGAAGAGUGAGUGACGGUAAUGGGUAAAGAAGCACCGGCUAACUACGUG
rnacentral:rRNA from 1 species